rnacentral:tRNA from 1 species
GGGCCCGUGGCCUAGUUGGAUCAGGGCAUUCGGCUUCGGCCAUGUUUGUUUGGAAGAUACCGAAAAGUCGGGGGUUCGAGUCCCUCCGGGCCCG